AGCAGCCGCGGGAACACCGGCGGCCCGAGUGGUGAUCGUGAUUAUUGGGUCUAAAGGGUCCGUAGCCGGUUUGGUCAGUCCUCCGGGAAAUCUGAUAGCUCAACUAUUAGGCUUUCGGGGGAUACUGCCAGACUUGGAACCGGGAGAGGUAAGAGGUACUACAGGGGUAGGAGUGAAAUCUUGUAAUCCCUGUGGGACCACCUGUGGCGAAGGCGUCUUACCAGAACGGGUUCGACGGUGAGGGACGAAAGCUGGGGGCACGAACCGGAUUAGAUACCCGGGUAGUCCCAGCCGUAAACGAUGCUCGCUAGGUGUCAGGCAUGGCGCGACCGUGUCUGGUGCCGCAGGGAAGCCGUGAAGCGAGCCACCUGGGAAGUACGGCCGCAAGGCUGAAACUUAAAGGAAUUGGCGGGGGAGCACAACAACGGGUGGAGCCCUGCGGUUUAAUUGGACUCAACGCCGGACAACUCACCGGGGGCGACAGCAAUAUGUAGGCCAAGCUGAAGACUUUGCCUGAAUCGCUGAGGAGUGGUGCAUGG
rnacentral:rRNA from 1 species